AUGAACGCUAGCUACAGGCUUAACACAUGCAAGUCGAGGGGCAGCAUCAUCAAAGCUUGCUUUGAUGGAUGGCGACCGGCGCACGGGUGAGUAACACGUAUCCAACCUGCCGACAACACUGGGAUAGCCUUUCGAAAGAAAGAUUAAUACCGGAUGGCAUAAUUAUUCCGCAUGGGAUAAUUAUUAAAGAAUUUCGGUUGUCGAUGGGGAUGCGUUCCAUUAGGCAGUUGGCGGGGUAACGGCCCACCAAACCUACGAUGGAUAGGGGUUCUGAGAGGAAGGUCCCCCACAUUGGAACUGAGACACGGUCCAAACUCCUACGGGAGGCAGCAGUGAGGAAUAUUGGUCAAUGGACGAGAGUCUGAACCAGCCAAGUAGCGUGAAGGAUGACUGCCCUAUGGGUUGUAAACUUCUUUUAUACGGGAAUAAAGUGAGCCACGUGUGGCUUUUUGUAUGUACCGUAUGAAUAAGGAUCGGCUAACUCCGUGCCAGCAGCCGCGGUAAUACGGAGGAUUCGAGCGUUAUCCGGAUUUAUUGGGUUUAAAGGGAGCGUAGGCGGGUUGUUAAGUCAGUUGUGAAAGUUUGCGGCUCAACCGUAAAAUUGCAGUUGAUACUGGCGACCUUGAGUGCAACAGAGGUAGGCGGAAUUCGUGGUGUAGCGGUGAAAUGCUUAGAUAUCACGAAGAACUCCGAUUGCGAAGGCAGCUUACUGGAUUGUAACUGACGCUGAUGCUCGAAAGUGUGGGUAUCAAACAGGAUUAGAUACCCUGGUAGUCCACACAGUAAACGGUGAAUACUCGCUGUUGGCGAUAUACGGUCAGCGGCCAAGCGAAAGCAUUAAGUAUUCCACCUGGGGAGUACGCCGGCAACGGUGAAACUCAAAGGAAUUGACGGGGGCCCGCACAAGCGGAGGAACAUGUGGUUUAAUUCGAUGAUACGCGAGGAACCUUACCCGGGCUUAAAUUGCAACUGACGGAACCGGAAACGGUUCUUUCUUCGGACAGUUGUGAAGGUGCUGCAUGGUUGUCGUCAGCUCGUGCCGUGAGGUGUCGGCUUAAGUGCCAUAACGAGCGCAACCCUUACGGGUAGUUACCAUCAGGUUAUGCUGGGGACUCUACCCGGACUGCCGUCGUAAGAUGUGAGGAAGGUGGGGAUGACGUCAAAUCAGCACGGCCCUUACGUCCGGGGCUACACACGUGUUACAAUGGGGGGUACAGAAGGCAGCUACACGGCGACGUGGUGCUAAUCCCAAAAGCCUCUCUCAGUUCGGAUUGGAGUCUGCAACCCGACUCCAUGAAGCUGGAUUCGCUAGUAAUCGCGCAUCAGCCACGGCGCGGUGAAUACGUUCCCGGGCCUUGUACACACCGCCCGUCAAGCCAUGAAAGCCGGGGGUACCUGAAGUACGUAACCGCGAGGAGCGUCCUAGGGUAAAACUGGUGAUUGGGGCU
rnacentral:rRNA from 1 species